rnacentral:rRNA from 1 species
UGGGGAAUAUUGCACAAUGGGGGAAACCCUGAUGCAGCGACGCCGCGUGAGCGAUGAAGGCUUUCGAAUCGUAAAGCUCUGUCCUAUGGGAAGAUAAUGACGGUACCAUAGAAGAAAGCCCCGGCUAAUUACGUGCCAGCAGCCGCGGUAAUACGUAAGGGGCGAGCGUUGUCCGGAAUUAUUGGGCGUAAAGAGUGCGUAGGCGGCAAAUUAAGUCAGAUGUGAAAACUAAGGGCUCAACCCAUAGAUUGCAUCUGAAACUGAUAUGCUUGAGUCAAGGGGAGGAAAGUGGAAUUCCUAGUGUAGCGGUGGAAUGCGUAGAUAUUAGGAGGAAUACCGGUGGCGAAGGCGACUUUCUGGGCUUGAACUGACGCUGAGGCACGAAAGCGUGGGGAGCAAACAGG